rnacentral:lncRNA from 1 species
AAUGACUCAAUUUGAUGAACCUUUUUUCCCUCAGUGCAACAAUUUGACGUUCUAACUCUAAAAGUUCUAUCAGCCCAUCUGGUAGGCAGCCUUAGAGAUGGGUUGUGUCCUUGGAAUUAGGUUAUUGGAGAACUCGAUCUCUUGCCCGGGUGACAGAAUAGGUAGCUUCAUAAGGAAUAUGUUUGAGAAGUCACAGAUGAUAGGGAUUGCCUAAACUAAAUGCUCAUAAUCCAUGUGUCUAUACAUCAUAGAGGUUAGGAAAAGAAAGACAAUCUUAAUCUUAAAAAUCUUAUAAUGUUGGACGCAUUAAAAUUUUAAAUAUUUAAAACA